AGAUGAGAAAACUGAGUCAUGUAAAGGUGAAGCAGCUUGCCCCAAAUCCUGCAGCGAUUCCACAUAUAGGGAAUAUGUUUCGAUAGGAAGAACCCAGAACGAAGGAAUGCCUCUGUGGAAGAGCCCUUGGAGAUCCUUGAACUCAACUCUCAUUUUCUAGAACAGGAAACCAGAGAAAUUAAAAGUGGGCUUUGCAGGGACAGGGAGAGAGACUUACAGAGAUGGAGUGAGAUACAGAGGCCCCUCGUCUUCUAGGAAAGUGACAAGGCUCUCUGGUGUCAAGCAGGUGACUGUGCUUCAGGCUUUGGCCCCGAGGCUG